rnacentral:rRNA from 1 species
UACGUAGGUGGCAAGCGUUGUCCGGAAUUAUUGGGCGUAAAGCGCGCGCAGGCGGUCCUUUAAGUCUGAUGUGAAAGCCCCCGGCUCAACCGGGGAGGGUCAUUGGAAACUGGAGGACUUGAGUACAGGAGAGAAGAGUGGAAUUCCACGUGUAGCGGUGAAAUGCGUAGAGAUCGGAAAGAACACCAACGGCGAAAGCACUCUGCUGGGCCGACACUGACACUGAGAGACGAAAGCUAGGGGAGCGAAUGGG